UGGGGAAUUUUCCGCAAUGGGGGGAACCCUGACGGAGCAACGCCGCGUGCGGGGGGACGGCCUGUGGGUUGUAAACCGCUUUUCUCUGGGAAGAAGCUCUGACGGUACCAGAGGAAUCAGCAUCGGCUAACUCCGUGCCAGCAGCCGCGGUAAGACGGAGGGCGCUAGCGUUGUUCGGAAUCACUGGGCGUAAAGGGCGCGUAGGCGGCUGCUUAAGUCGAGGGUGAAAGCCCGGGGCUCAACCUCGGAACGGCCUUCGAGACUGGGCGGCUAGAGAUCGGAAGAGGAGGGUGGAAUACCCAGUGUAGAGGUGAAAUUCGUAGAUAUUGGGUGGAACACCAGUGGCGAAAGCGGCUCUCUGGUCCGGAUCUGACGCUGAGGCGCGAAAGCGUGGGGAGCAAACAGGAUUAGAUACCCGCGUAGUCC
rnacentral:rRNA from 1 species